CAGGGUGUCAUGAGCCAUGUGUGGGCAGUGAGACUCUUGGUGUGAAAUUUCAAAUCCUUCUGACUGAAGACCGUCCUCCCCUCAGCCAGCGGGGGCGCAGCUGAGGAUGCUUGGACCCCCGGAUCUGGCUAUGGAAGAAACCACACCAUACACUGGAUGCUGAUUCAAAGCAUACGCUGCCUUCUGGAGAAACCUGCCCCUGCCCUCCAGGCUGCUGCACCUGAUUGGCUCUGUAACUGUGCCUUUAAAAGGCCACUUCUGUCAGGACAGCUGCUUGGGGAUGGUGGGGAACGUAGUAAAACCAGUGGAUUCCAUGAUCACGGUGAGAAGGAACACUGAGUGUAAUACCAUGCAAAACAUAAUUUUCUAUAGUCCCAUUUAAAACAAACAAACGCAUUUAAAAAUGUCUAAUUGGAAAACCUAAA